rnacentral:rRNA from 1 species
AUUGAACGCUGGCGGCAUGCUUUACACAUGCAAGUCGAACGGUAACAGGUUAAGCUGACGAGUGGCGAACGGGUGAGUAAUGCAUCGGAACGUGCCCGGUCGUGGGGGAUAACGCAGCGAAAGCUGCGCUAAUACCGCAUACGAUCUGAGGAUGAAAGCGGGGGACCGUAAGGCCUCGCGCGAUCGGAGCGGCCGAUGUCAGAUUAGGUAGUUGGUGGGGUAAAGGCUCACCAAGCCAACGAUCUGUAGCUGGUCUGAGAGGACGACCAGCCACACUGGGACUGAGACACGGCCCAGACUCCUACGAGAGGCAGCAGUGGGGAAUUUUGGACAAUGGGCGAAAGCCUGAUCCAGCAAUGCCGCGUGCAGGAAGAAGGCCUUCGGGUUGUAAACUGCUUUUGUACGGAGCGAAAAGGUCUCCUCUAAUACAGGGGGCUCAUGACGGUACCGUAAGAAUAAGCACCGGCUAACUACGUGCCAGCCGCCGCCGUAAUAC